rnacentral:rRNA from 1 species
GACGAACCGUGCAAACGUUAUUCGGAAUCACUGGGCAUAAAGGGCGCGUAGGCGGCUUUCUAAGUCAGGGGUGAAAUCCGGCAGCUCAACUGUCGCAGUGCCUUUGAUACUGGAGAGCUCGAGGGAGGUAGGGGUCUGUGGAACUUCCGGUGGAGCGGUGAAAUGCGUUGAUAUUGGAAGGAACGCCGGUGGCGAAAGCGACGGACUGGAUCUCUUCUGACGCUGAGGCGCGAAAGCCAGGGGAGCAAACGGG